rnacentral:rRNA from 1 species
CCUACGGGUGGCAGCAGUGAGGAAUAUUGGUCAAUGGGCGCGAGCCUGAACCAGCCAAGUCGCGUGAGGGAGGACGGCCCUACGGGUUGUAAACCUCUUUUGCCGGGGAGCAACGGGCGUCACGUGUGGCGCCACUGAGAGUACCCGGAGAAAAAGCAUCGGCUAACUCCGUGCCAGCAGCCGCGGUAAUACGGAGGAUGCGAGCGUUAUCCGGAUUUAUUGGGUUUAAAGGGUGCGUAGGCGGAAUAUCAAGUCAGCGGUAAAAAUUCGGGGCUCAACCCCGUCGUGCCGUUGAAACUGAUGUUCUUGAGUGGGCGAGAAGUAUGCGGAAUGCGUGGUGUAGCGGUGAAAUGCAUAGAUAUCACGCAGAACUCCGAUUGCGAAGGCAGCAUACCGGCGCCCAACUGACGCUGAAGCACGAAAGCGUGGGUAUCGAACAGGAUUAGAUACCCUGGUAGUC